rnacentral:lncRNA from 1 species
AAAUCUGAUAUGUCGGCCAUAUGUGUAUGACCACUCGUUAGUAAAUAAUAUAUGUGAUAUGUCGAUCAUAUUCAUGUGACAUGUCGAUUAUAUUCAUGUGACAUAUCGGUUAUAUGAGUAUGACAUAUUGUUUGGACAGAAUUUCCAGCGUAUGACAGAAAACUCAUGUCAUCUGAGACAAUUAAGGAUCCUGAUCGGGACAAAAUCGAGACACAUUUUUAUGUCAAUUUAAUGUUCAAGACAAGUUCAAGAUCGGCAAAUCUUGACCUGACUCGUCCUGUCCCAUUACCUACCCUAUUAAUGAUUAUCAAAUGAUUAAUUAUUAUAUAUUAAUAAUCGUGUAUUUAUUACAUAAAUAUUAAUUUGUACGAAGUUGUUAUUUAAUGACGAGAUAGCAAACAAAUACAAAUACUGCCUGCUGCUGGUGGAGCUGGUAUAUAUUAUAUUGCUUAAGCAGCCAAAUUUCCGAUAAGAACAUGUUACAUGCUAGCCGUUCGAUUGUUGUUGAAUUCGUGAUAGUGACCCACGUUGCAUGUGGGACCACCCACGAGGUCGGUUACGAUAUUCGGCUUCGGUUUGAGCAAAGGAAAAUUGCUGAGCUCCCCUACCUGUCCAACCAUAUACCUAACCCCAACAAAUAAUUUUCCUUCACUUCAUAAUUUAUUGGCCCUCUCUGAUUUCUAAAAGCCCCCAAACGAAACGGGGCGUUUUAAUAGCUCAACCAACCCAAUUUGUUACCAUUUAUGUUAGGAGUGGGACUAUUGGCACCCCUCUAAAUACCUCUUAACACCCUUUUAAUUAUUUUACAAUUUUAACAUUUAUUAAAAUUACAUAAUAAGACAAUUUCGAAUUAAACCCCCACUCAAAAUCAAAUAAUUUUUUCCCCUUAAAAAUUCCUUAUUGCUAUUAGAUUUGUUAAUAGAAUCAUUGCUAUUAUCAAUUUGUCAUUGACAUAAAAUCAUUCAUUCCUCUUAGAUUUGUUUCAUUAUCAUGCUCUUCACAUAAAAUCAUUGCUAUUAUAUUUGUUAAUAGAAGUCAUUUCAUAGAGGCAUUUAAAACUUUGGAAAUUCAAAUUAUGCUACAAUAUCUUUAUUAUUGGACUAAUUUUUCUAUGGCUUUUUUCUGCAGGUGUUCAUGCUUCCAGCUUCACUUAUUCCUCUUAUUCCGAAUGGUUGGAUGAAGUAUCAUAAACUAUGUGCAGAAGGCAGGGCAACACCAUACGAAACUAAUAUAAGUGCUUUUAAGGAUUUGGUGUUUGAAGUUACCACACCAGAAAUAAUUGAUCUAGCUAGUCAAUGACAAUAUUAGACAAUUUUAUACUAAUAAAUUAAACAAGGGAUCAAAAAUUAAAUUUUAUCCACAAUCAAGGGAUCAAAAAUUAAACAAUGGGGUUUAUACUAAUAAAUUUAAAUUAAGGGUAUUUUUGUCAUUAAAGGGGUGUUAAAAGAAUUUUAUAAUAUUUUUAAAUAUUUUAAUGGGGUUAAUAAAGAAAAGAGGUGUUGAGAGAUAUUUAAAGGGGUGCCAAUAGUCCCACUCUUAUGUUAGGGGUGUUUUAAGAUCCAAUUCAAUCAAUUGAUCCAAUCAAAAUCAAUCCAAUUUUUAUUGAAUUGAGCUUUUGAUUGGAUUGAAUUGGACUUCAAAGUUGAAAUCCAAUAUUAUUUAAUUGGUCUAUGAAUCCAUGUAUCCAAAAUCAAUAUAAAACAAUCCAACAUAUUAAUUUUAUUUUCUUUAUUUACUUUUUAAAAUAUAAUUUUCCUAAAAAAAGUAAAACCUAAUUUUUUAUUGGGCAAGACUUGAACCCUUAAAGUUACUUUAUAAACUCUUAUUUUUAAGUAAAAUAUUUUUUUUCUUAAAUACACCAAUGUAAAAUUACUUAAAAGGAUAAGACAACUUAAAAAAAAUAAAAUAAAGACUAGCUUUACACCCACCUUUUUAGUUUUUACAAACCCUCAAAAUUAUCUUAUUGCUAAAAAUGCCAUGAAUGAUUACGAAUUUUCAUUUGUUGCAAACUUUAAACUUGCUUUGCUGUUGAAAAUUAGUGGCGUAAAUCACCAAUAAUUUCAAAUCGUGUUUAGUUGCUCGUUGUUGUAAGUACGAAAGUUGACGGGAAAAAAAAAUUUUCAUACCAUGAAUUUGCAGUCAAAGAAAUUUAUGUGUUUUUCUUUUAUUUUUUAUGAACCAUUGAAAAUUUUACCGUCACUUGACCAAUGAUGGGUUUUCACUCUUCAAGUAUACAUAUAAGGGUAUAUUUGACAUAUAGGUAGGUGGGUUUAUUGAGUAAAAUAUAUAUUUUUAAACUUUUUUUAUGAAUUUGUUGAGCAAAAUGAUAUUUUGAUGGGUUUAAAUAGCCUUACCCUUUUGUAUAAUUAUAAACAUAUAAUAAUAAUACAAAGUACUUAAUGUAAGCCGCAAUUAAUAUUUGCUUUCAAUAUUCAAAUUUUUAUUUUUAAAACCAUAUGAUAAUAAAGUACAUGAAUCAUGAAAUAUUAAAGGAGUUUAUAUUUAUUUAUCUAUUUUGCAAUUUCCAGUAAUUAGAAUUAUAGAGAGUAAUUGGUGAAUUUUGUUUGUUAAUUUUUUAUUUUAAUAAGAUUGAUUAGAUUGGAUUGGAUUGAAUUGAAUUUUUUAUUAGUUUGGAUUUGAUCGAAUUUCAAUAAAUGAUUGGAUCAAAAAUAUAAAAUUUAAUAUGUGAUGGAUUGCGUUUAGAUUUUAUGAAUGUCAUCAUCUUUUAUAUGUAUGCUACUAUUACUAUAAAAUAAAAGUGGAAAUUAAAGGAUAUUAAAAGCAUUGUUAGUUGUUAAAAGGAUAUUACGUAAAAAAAUGAUACUCUCUCCCUCUCAAAAUAACCCAUUAAAAAUUAGGUAUUCUUAAAAGUUCAAAAUAUUUAGGAAAUGCAGUUCAAGAGCUAGAAAUGAAUAGAUGAAGUUGGCACAGGCUGGUGUGAAAAAAAAAAAAAGGGUAGUUGAAACAAAAACUUAUAAACAAGUUUGGUUCCUUAUGUAACCAAUUAAGGGUAGUUGAAACAAAAACUUAUAAACAAGGCUGGUGUGAAAAAAAAAAAAAGGGUAGUUGAAACAAAAACUUAUAAACAAGUUUGGUUCCUUAUGUAACCAAUUACAUACAAAAAUAGGACAACAAUAAUCAAUUAUGUACAAAAAUAGGAAAAAACUCCCGAAUGAAUGGAACCUCCCCACAACAGAGAAGGCAGAAGCCAGCAACAGCCUAAGCCACCAACUUUUAUAUUAACCAGCUCAUCAAUCCCAACAUUUUCUCUCAUUAGGAGCAUUAAAUUUCGUUGCCAUACGCUGUAUAACAUUUCUAAUGAUAUUAAUAGCCAAAAAUAUAUAUUAUUAGGAAUAAUAUUUCAUUCCUUUAAUUUGCACAUUUCUGAUUCUGAGAUAGAGUCCCUUUAAUUUGUUGUCAUUUUGAAGGGACUUUAUCAGCAUUUUAUUAUAUAUGGCUGAGAGAAUUUUCAGCAUUGUGUUGGGGCGUUGGUCUCUUUUGAUGUGCAUGAUUUUAUCAUCAUCAUCAUCAUCAUAUGCACAAACUUGUAGCAAGUAUAGCUUUUCGAGCAACCGGGUGUUCAAAUCAUGCAAUGAUCUUCCUGUUUUGAACGCUUAUAUUCAUUAUAAUUAUGAUUCAUCAUCAGGAAAGCUUGAGAUUGGUUAUAGGCAAACAAGAGUUUCAUCUGCUCAAUGGGUGUCAUGGGCUGUUAAUCCCACAGAACAAGGUAUGGUUGGUUCCCAGGCACUUGUCGCAUACCGACAACCUGAUGGAAAAAUUAGAGCUUAUACAUCACCAAUCACUCAAUAUCAAACGACUUUGGCAGAGGGAAAUCUUGCUUUCGAUGUCUCGGAUUUAACAGCGACUUAUGCAAAUAACGAGAUGAUCAUUUUUGCUACCUUGGGACUUCAGAAUGGAACUACUACUUUGCACCAAGUUUGGCAACAAGGUCCACUCUCAGGAAAUGUGCCAGCAAUUCAUAGUACAACUGGACCUAAUGUUCAAUCCAUGGGGACACUGAAUCUUUUUUCUGGCCAAACUGCUACUUCUUCUGGAGGAGCUGCAAACUCUAAACUCAGGAAGAGAAACGUGAGUCAUUUUUUCAAAUUUUAUUUAUUGUAUUCGGAGGUUUCAUUUGAUCAUAUUAUAUCUUGUAUUGCUUUGUUAUCUUGAAGUUAUCUUUUAAUAAAUUAAAUGUCCAGAUUCAUGGAGUGCUAAAUGCUGUUAGCUGGGGUCUCUUGAUGCCCAUCGGAGUCAUAAUAGCAAGGUACUUGAAGGUAUUCAAAUCUGCAGGACCUGCAUGGUUUUACCUCCAUGUGUCUUGCCAAUUAUCAGCCUACAUUGUCGGUGUUGCCGGAUGGGCUACAGGUAUCAAACUCGGCAGUGAAUCCGUUGGCGUUGUACUAAAAACACACAGAACACUAGGCAUCGUUAUUUUCUGCCUUGGAACACUUCAGGUACCCUCAAAUUGUCCCUUGAGUUCACAUGUAAAAAAGUGCAGCAGCCUCAGCUGUUAUAAAUAAACAUACCCACUUAAUUUAAUUGAUAAGCAAGCUAUUAUCCAUUAAUUUGUGUUUUACUUGUACUAAGAAAUGAAUGAUUUUGCUUGUUCAGGCGUUUGCUUUGCUUCUGAGGCCAAAACCAGAUCACAAAUACAGAAUCUACUGGAACUUCUACCACCAUUCAGUUGGGUAUGCAACUAUCAUUCUCAGCAUAAUCAACAUUUACAGAGGAUUCAACAUCUUGAAACCCGAUAAUAAAUGGAAGCAAGCAUACACUGGUUGUAUCAUUGUUCUGGUUUGCGUUGCGGUGGUUUUGGAAAUAUUUACAUGGGCUUUGGUCAUCAAGAGGAAAAAGUCGGGAAGUGGAGACAAGAUAUCACAAUCCGUUAAUGGAUCAAAUGGGAACAAUAGUGGGCAAGGGGUGUAGAUAAAUUUGUACCAUUACAUAUGUAGCUGCAGCUGCAGCGUCAGCCUGUGGUGGUCAUUUGCUUUUUGUUGUUACAGAUUUGACAUUGUUGUGCUGCAGUUGAGGAUUGGAAGUUACUCUUUCAAGGGAUGGUUGUAAAAAUUGUUGUGUCCGGAUGUAAUAUGGUAGUUGCUCUUUGAGAUUUUGCACAUCUGUUUUAUUGCAUUUUUUUUCCCAAGUUGUUUUGUAUACUCGUUUCAUAUCAUACGGAGAGCAUGCAUCUUGGUUCCUUAAAGUUCCUGCAAAUUCAGCAUUCAUGCAAUAAUAUCCUAGCAAAGAAAUUGUAAUCCCAACUUUAUGCGUUAUCAUUUCAAUGAAACGUAUGAUUUGGAAGGCUUAACGCCAAUUUGAAAAAUCAUUAAAUUACUAUUACAAAUGGCUCUUUGUUUAAAACCUCACAGUGGGAUCAAAUCAAGAGUACAUAUCUUAUUGCUGCUCAGAGAAAGUAGAAUUAUCUCGACCAUAAUAGAUUAAUAAGUAACUUCAAGAUUAUAUCUGGAAGUUAUAGAUGCUUGCUCAUUCUGAUUGUCGCAAAGCCUCAAUAAAAGCAUCCUUGACGUGGGGGUUCGAAGCUGCAACUCUCUGAGCUGUGAUAUCAAAAUCCUUACCAGAUCUGAUACAAAACAACUUGAUCAAUUCAUAAACUUAAAUAUAAGCUCUGAAACAUAUUCAAAAUAUCUCGUUUGUUCUUAACUCGUCUUUUUUUCUUGAAAAGAAAAAGAAAAAGAAAUAGUAAGUGCUCUAAGAAAUCAUGUAGUUUUGUAACAUUAAUGGCAUUGCCCAAUUCCAAGUCACAGAUGGCAAAGAAAAAUUACUGAAAAGUAAUAGAUGUUAAAGUAAUACAUUAACUUAAAAGAGAGGGUAAUCACAAUUUCAGACUGUUAUUCCCACCAAAGGUCUUUCUGAACUUUUGAGACAAAGAUGUUUGCACUUACGGAUCAUAAACAAGUCCUCCAGCUUCUUCAACAAUCACAACACCAGCUGCCACAUCCCUGAGUACAAGACAGGACAUAACUCUCAUGUACUUCACAUAACUAAGAAAAGAAGAUAAAAAAGUACAUGCAUACCAUGGACCUCCAAAUCCGAGUUCAUAAAACAGAUCAAGCCUUCCGCAUGCAAUUCCACAAAGAUUCAAUGCACAGGAGCCACUCAUCCGAAGGGAUCUCACCUGGUAAAAAGAUCAACUGAGAUAACAUUUAUGGAAACAGACUUAGCGAAUCUGUAAAAAAUACAACGAUGAUCCUUGAUUUUACCUUGAAUAGCAAGCUAUUGAUUCUAUUUGUAGAAGCAUCCAGAGUUGGCUUAUCACGUUUUGUUCCAGCCUGCUCUCAAUAACAUAAAAUUUCCAGUUAAUUACAUGCUACUUGCGUAAUUGUCAGUUUACUUCUAUAGUUUAAACAGAAAUAUCAUCCUCAAAUUGGUGGCUAUCCUCAUCACGACAAAUAAUUAAUUAAUAAGAGACAAGACACUAGACAUGUGUCAAACAUUGCAUACCUCUGUUGCGAGGAGAGACUUUACUAGUUCAGUUUGAGAUGAUACUGCAAAUUUUCAAAACAUAAGCAUGCAUUCUUUCUUGGAGGAAUUGAUAAAUGAUAAAGAAAAGAAAAAUAUAACAUUGAGUAUGGUGAAAAUCACCUUUUAUAGGUUUUCCAUUAAAAAAUGCACCUUGUCCACGGACUCCAGUAAAAAGCUACAUGUAACGAAAUCAAAGUUUACAUUUCCAUUGGCUGGUAAAACUCAUGAACACAAUAUAAAUUCUGGUCACUGGAGCAAGUUAAUAAUUUAGAAUGUCUAUUUUUCAUUUGAAAGUUACCGACAGCAUAAAGCUGAGAGGAAGCAAAGCACAUGAUUUGUUCACAGCAGGUGGCCCUAAAACAAACACUAAGGUACCAGAAACCACCCAUGCCAGUUAGCAGUUAUAACUCAUGCGUUACCAUCUACAAUCCUGAGCCCUCAAUUAAAUGGUGUUUAACCAUUCAUUUUAGACCUUACAGGGAGCAUAGAAUUCUCACCUCAUCCAUUAUUGGAUUGUAGACAACCCCGACAAUAGGAAUCUUUCCAAUUGUAAGACCGAUAGAGAUACACACAAAGGGAAACCUAGAAAUAUGCAAUAAUGUGAAAAAUGAAAUUAAUCAAUAAUUAGAGAGCAAGUCAAUAACCAACCAGUUAAAUGCAAUAUUUACCCAUGCACAAAGUUAGUUGUUCCAUCAAGAGGAUCAACAAUCCAAGUGGGUUCAUCAGUCAACUCUGUGGCACCACAAGCAGCGGUAGUUUCUUCUCCAAUGAACUAAGAUGUGAUCAAUUAAAACAAGUUCAGAAAGAGAGAGGGGGGCUGCUGUACGGCCAAGGCGGAUGUACGGUACAGCAGCAUUCAUAUAAAAUCGAAAAUGGUGGAUGUAAAAAACAAAUCCACAGCGGAUCAUGUCCUUCAAGUCGCACGUUGCUUUCUACCACAUCGUUUCAAACGAAGUUUUACCAUAACAUUUCUCUAGUUUGGAACCGGUAUGUAAUUGAUUCCAGUAUGGAAUCAUGAAUAGUCAUUGCUUCGGUCGAUACACAGACUUUUUUCCUUGUAUAUGAAGGGAAUAUUUAGGUUGUUAGUCGUUCAUCCGGAAUCCUGAAAUGAAAAAGAAAAUCAGAAUUACAAAAAUGGGCGAUUUCCGUAUCUAUCAGAUUAGACUGAACAAUUUUCGUUGGAAGUAAUUAUGUAUAUUGUAUGUUAAAUAUUUAAUUUAACAGGAAGAUAAGGGCUCACAAAUCUUAAAAAGCCUGCUGUACGGCCAAGGCGGAUGUACGGUACAGCAGAAGACUCAUCUGCUCUUAUGGGGGGGGGGGGGGAAUCCAUUUAAAGGAGACAAGAAACUAAGUUGAUAAAUAGCGCAAAUUAUGUUAGAUAUACAAGCUAAACAAUGAAGAUAUAGGAGACAACCUUAUGCGCGGGAAAUUGCUGCUUGAGAUGAUUAAAUAUGAGAUCCUCACAUGCUUUAUCAGUUUCUGUGACCAAAUCCACCUACAUGUCAGCAUUAUGUUUGCCAAUGAUUAGUAGAUAUCAUCAUAUAUAUCAGAGCUAAAAACUGGCAACAAAAUAUUCUCUGAUACUUGGCCAUUUCAUAUUUAAACUUGAAUGCUAAAUUUUCAUUUCAACUAAGAGAUUUUUUUGAUAAACUGCAUAUAACGGGGGAAAAUAAGGAGCAAUUUAGCACUACACAGGUUAAGUUCCUUCACAUCCCCAUGGGGCUAGCAAAUGCACUUGUUUAGUUACCAGGAAACAACAAUUUAUAAGAAACAAAAAGUAUUAUCUGGAUUCUUGACAUAGUUUGUGAUGUCUAAGAGAUCAAAAAUUCAAAUCCACAAUGACCAUAGAUUUAAAAUAAGAAUUAAAGCUAAGAUAUAUAUAUAAUUCUGGUGAUUUGCUUCCAUGGAGAGCUGAAAUUUUUCAGCACUUCCAAGGACAACAAACAUAUCGCUCCCAACUGGUCAACAUUUAUGCUGAUAUGAUCAUAGAAUACAUCCCAGGCAAAUUAUGGUCUUAAACUAACAAUAGCUUCAGUUCUAGAACUAAUAUGUGUACCAACCAUCAAUCAUUGAUGGUUCCAUAAUUUGAUUCACUUGGGCUGAACUCAAAAUUAAAUAGCCACCCAUAAGUACUGCAUCAAUGUACAUGAAUACAAUUGCCUGAGUGAUAAUUAUCAAAUAAAAGAAUUACAAAGUCCAAUUUUUGUGAAAAAGAAAAAAGAAAUACCUGGCCUUUAUGCUCCACAUUUUUGGUUUGAUAGAACCCAUUACGGAUUAUCUGUACAUAACAACAAUUCCAAUACAAAUAAUAAAAUAAAGACAAUAAAGUUAAAAUGAAAGAAAAUUUGAUUUUGAACUGAACCGACCUCGCCAGCCCUCUUAGCUGCAUCAACUGCAGUGUCCAAGAACUUUGCAAGCGAAUCUAAAAUCCAAAAGAAUUUAGUAAACAACAAAGAAAGUGUGUUAAUAACAAAAUGCGAGAUUUUUUGAAAAAGAAGAAUAAAAGAAAAAUCAGAAUAUGGGGCAUUACCAUUUUGUGCCAUAUGGGUAGAAUUUUUUAUUAUACGGGAUUAAAAAGUUAAAGAGAAGAACGAGAAGAGAAGGGACAGCGAGCUGAUGAGUGAUGAUGGUGGUAAUGACAGGUUGUGCUUCGUUUUUGAGCUAUUUUCUUUUUAUUUGAUUUUUUUUUUGUAUACGUAGCAAAAUGAAACCAUCAAACCAAUCUAAUCCGACACCACGAUUUUACUUGGUGUUUGUGUGUGUGUUUUAAUAGACAAGAUUCAUCACGUCACGCAAUUACCCUUUGGAAGAAUACUGAAGAGUUCUCUCGAGUCCCAUCGAGGUAAUUACAACAGUAAAAAUCGCAAUCACUUUGCCUACUUAUUUUAUAAUUUAACUCACGCUCGCCCUCCUCACACUCUCUAGCUGAAAGUCGGAUGAUUCGUGGAAUAUGCCAAUGCCAAUGCCAACGCCAACACAUUUUGUUUCGUUGGGUUUGGUACAGGACACAACACAAUCAGUGGCAGGCAUAGCAUUCCUUCCAAGCUGAGGAAGCUUCGUGCCUUGCCUCCUCUCUUAAAACUCUCUCUUGUUUAUUAAUCAUUAUAACUCCAUUUAACGUGAACACAGGACCCAACAAAUAAACAUACCCCCAAUCCCUUUCAAGCCAGCCACAUUGAACUCCAAACCAUAAUGCAGACAGCAUAGCUUUCGACUCACCUCAAAAAUUGUGUUAGCCGAAUGCAGAAUGGUAGAAAUACGAAUGUAAUGUACUGUGAUUAAACCAAGUAUGCCAAUUUAACCAAUUUCUUAUAUGAAUUUUUUGUUCUUCAUUUUUUUUUCCUUUUUCCAACACAAGUUUAUAUAUAUAUAACUACAAGAAAGGUGGGAAUACUGAGUACUUAGAAAAUAAACAUCUUACUUAGCCAAUUAUUUGACUACUAUGACCGCUAUAUGAUUCACAUUUAAAUGAUGUCAAAUAACACAAGAAGAUUGCCACGUGAGUGAUACAGCAAGCUUGCUCAUGGGCGGUCUCUUGGCUCAAGACCAGCAAUUUCCUUCACAACCUGAGCUUUGUCUGCCUCAAACUGUUCAUCCUCUGUAUCAAAGAAUGCUUGUAAUUGUCAACAAAGUCUCAAUUACCAUCUUUAAGCAUGCUGUUAUAUUUAUAGAAAUGCUACACCUUCUACCUUUAUCAGUUUUGAAAUCAGCAAACAACCGUAGAAGCUUGCUUCUGUUGGCAACGAGUAUGCUUACUAUGUCAGGAGGUUUGUUUUGAUUCGCAGCAAACAGCUGUAAGGCAUACACAUACAAAUGAAUAUAUAGUACCUUAAAACUAUAAACUCACAAUGUACUCAGCAACUAGAACAGGAAGUACCUUGAAAACAUGAAAUGCUUCUAUCUGGAUACUCUUGCUGGAUUCCUGCAAGAGGGAAGCAUUUAGUACAUCAAAGCUUUAUUUCAAUCAAUAGACAAGUUUAUUAGUCAAUUAUGGCCCAUUGGGCAUCAAAUAGGUGGCUAUCACAAACCAUAUGCAAGGAUAUUUUAUCAAACGUUACUGGUUCAGUCCCCUGCAAUUUUUGAUAAGCCAAGUAAAAGAUAUCUUCCACAUGCAUUCUGGGAAAGUAUCUUACUCUAAGAAGAUUCAUGAGUAUCCUCAAAUUUUCCCUUGAGCUCACAUAUCUUGUCAUCACUACUGAAUUUGACCGAUCCAGUAAUAUGUCUCCCAACAGCUAUAACAAAAUAAAGCAACCUUCAUUAAUAAACAGUAUAAGUACCAAAACAACCAACCAUAAAUUCCACUACGCCAUAUUCCAUUUCAAACAUCACAAAGUGAUGAUAACAAUCUUUAUUAAACCUUCUGAAAUUUUCUAACUUCAAUUAAAAUACGUUGUGAUUCUAUCCACGGCCAAAAAUGAAGAACUAUUGUAUUAGUUAAAACUAAUUUUGAGAAGCCACAUAUGCCAAAAGCUCCGGGUUAGUUUUCAUUUCAUUUUCUUAUUCAAAAGUCAAAUAACAAUAAUUACCCAUUGACUUGCACAUAGUUUUCCUACCUUGACAGCUUGUCGUCUGGUAAUGUAAUUGGAAGAUUCCAACAGUUUUGAGUUAUAUUCUGCAAAAAACUGAAAACAGCAGAGGAUUUGAACAUAUUAAGCUCUGCUCAAUAGAAAACAGCAACAAGAAGUUUAGAAAUAUAUCACGUAUGAUUGAGAUGUAAAAAUUUAAGUACCAUGAAGUGCAUCAAUUAAGAAUGUUUACGUAGGGCUAACUCUCCUAAUGCAAAUAUAAGAAAAUUCAAAGCAGAAAAAUUUAAAACAAACAAGAUCAAAGCAUAAUCAAAUUGGAAACGCGCAAAAUGGAAUGAAACAAAUCAUACCUUCACAUUUUAUACUUAUCAAAAGCAAUUCUGUUUAACAUAUAUCAUAGCUUGUAGAAUAUAUGCAUCACCAUAGAGAGUACCAGGUGUUACUAAAUUUUUACAUCCUAUUCUUCUCAUUAAAUUACCUUCAUCUACGUUUCAUAUGAAUUCAGAAUGGAAAGGCAUUGCAUAAUGUUAAACACCCUUUUCAUCUAGGGUUCAUUUGGGCAUCGACACACACACAUGUAUGUACAGUUUAAAAUAUAAAAGCAACAUUUACCCAGUUAUAAUUCUUAGAAAGAAAUUCGGCCACAGUGGAUUUGUGCCUUGUCAACAGUUCCUGCAGUAAAGUGUACAAGAGCGUCACUCUCACAUUUGCAUCAGCAUAACUUAGAAGUCCAAAAUAAAGCUGGAUAUAAAUCAUAUAGAAUAAAUUAUAAUGACAGCCACAAAACUGAAUAAAGUUUAGAAAACCAUAAAAAGAAUGACUAAACCAACAAUUGGAAAUAUAACUUCAACGGACUGCAAGAUGCAUGACAAAAACCAAGUUUCACUUGCAGCUUAGUUGUUCAUAUUAAAAUAAAAAACUAAUGGCAAAAUCACAGAGAGAGAGAGAAAGAGAUCCUUCAUCACUUCUUAUUUAAGUAUAUACCUUAAAAGUUGCAGCAGCAUCUGCAGCAAUGUCAAAAUUUGGAAGCUGUAUAUAGUCAAAAAACUUCUUCAUGUGCUGGGAUUCCAACACAUAUCUGUAAAUCAAAGCAGAGAAGUUAAGACAUUCACAUGAAGCCUAUGAACAAAUAAUGAUCAUGAAAUCAACCAAUUUGAAAAUCUUAAUUGAAAGAACUAUAUUAUACCAUUAGAACAAAAGGGUGAAUACACAUCAUUUAGAAAACCCUCAUCAAUCAAUAUACUAACAACUUUGAUAGACAAAUGGUUUCUAAAAUUAAACCGUAACUCAAUUUUUUAAGACGAAAUCACAAAAAGGAAGUCCAGGAUAUCAGCACAGGCACUAGACGAAAAUUGCCUCCAAUGUGCCCAUUGCUUUAUUGUCACCCAACAUUUUCAACUUUGCAACAAAUUCUCGGCAUAUGAUUUGAAUCAAUUCCAUGAUUGCAAUUCAGUAGUUCACUCAAAAAUAGAGGAUCAGAUUUCUGUAAGCUUGUCAAGUGAUGAAAUGAAUAGUUCAAUCUAAUUAGCUUACUCACCUUGCAACACUCUGAUGACGAAUACACUCCCUAAGCAUAGCACCAUAAUGUAAAGCCAUGUCUGUGUUUUCAUAACUACAGAAGCAGCUUUCAACAAUUAGAACACACUAACAAACACAAUGGUAUAACAUGGCAUCCUAACAUCCUUAAAAUAUCUUAUAAUUUUAACUUACCCAGCUAUCAGAAUAUCCAAAAGAUCUAUGUUUGCUUCUAAGUAGUCAGAGGCAAUCAACUUUGAGUGAACUUGUUGCCUCUGUAAAUUAGCAACAACCUGAGUGGCAUCUUUCCUUGCCUGCAAAAUACAAUCAUGUCUUACUGCAUUGUAUUUUGUAAUUGAACCUCAGCAGUGAAAUUUGGCAAGAUUAUUAACGACACGAUCAUUACAAAGUUGAAAUCUUAAACCGGGAUACAAGAAGUUAAUAAAUAAAACUAAAGGCAAUCUGGGAGGUAGUUCAACUUAGCAAUGUAAUGCUUACCUCCAAGUUCAACUUUGGAAGACAAGUUAUCAAAAGCCGUAACGUGUUUUCCCUGAAGAACUCUGCAGUCAAUUGUGCACAUGCCUCUGAAACUGGCUCAGAUUCACUAUUGCCAUAAAGUAUUGACUUUAACUCCCUGAUGUUUUUACAUAACUCUGCCAUCUACAAAAAGGAAAAGGUUAACUUGGAGGUCUAGUUUGGGUAAUGCAAAGAGGAGAAGGAUCAACGAUUUGAUUAUGAAGAGUCACCACUCACGGAUUCAACCAUUUGAUUAAACAAUUUCAAAACAAUUCAAAGCAUGGCAGAUAUUUGUAACAAUUCAACUCAUGACCUUGUCCUUGUACACACAAUGAAACUUUCUUUCAAGUAAUUUGUCAGUGCAAUAUCCCCAAACCAUCACAUCCAAAAAAUCGGCCAAGGCUACUAAAAUUCAACGUCAUUAAAUUCAAUCUGUUGGUCAAUCCCAUGCCAUUGUGGCCAAUCCACAGUAAAAAUGAAGGCAGACUAUUUAAAAUUAAUAAAUAACAAAAAGUUACAAACCUUAACAAAAAUUCAGCCUGUUUUCACAUACCCAGGUAUCAAAAUCGCAGACUAAACUCUCAAAACACUCAUCACUAACUAAUUCAGGUAAUCCCCAAUCUCACGCAUGAGUAUUUUCCCAGAGAACAAAAAAUGGGUAAGAAAUAUAAAAACCUUGUCUUCGCGCUUCGAUUCACGAACAUCUGCGCUGCGAUUGGCGUAAAUAAUAAGAUCCCGAGUUUGGCGGACGAUGUCGACGGGAGUACGAGGCUUGGAUUUGAAAAGUCCCUUCAUUUUUGUGUUAGGGUCUAAUUCGUUAAUCGAACUUGAACUGGCUGAGCUCGAGAGGCGCUGGACCGAUUGACUCGCCGAGGCUGAGAGCGCCUCAGCUUUCGGCUUUGACGCACAGAUUCCUAUUGUGUAUCUUCUUCUUCUAAUUAGGCUUUAGGGUUUCAGCUUUCGAAUUUAAUUUUGCUGUCUGAGUUGUUGUUACAGUCUACAGAGAGAAAGAGACUGUUCAUGCGUUUCAAUGGAUUUUUUUAAAGAUUUUUAUUUCAUUUUUAUCUAUUGAAAAACUGUGCUGCGUCGUUUUCGAUUUUAGUCAAUCAAUUAUCAAUCAACGGCUUCGCUUUGGGUUUUUACGUUUAAGUAUUCGCCACUCGGUAGUUACCAUGUGCACUCGAUGUCAUCCCGAUGAUGAUGAUGAGAUAAAAUAUCUUCUGCUUUCAUUGUAGAGUCAUAGAAAUUGAUACAACGAUGCAUGAUCAUAGAAAAUUACCAAAAAAAACUUGAAUUUCAUUAACCAAUCAAAUUAAUUUAUUUUCCCUCAAAAUCUAUCUCUCCAUUAUUAAAAAAAGUAAAAAUCUAUCUUAAUCUAUGACCGUGAGGGGCAGGCAUUAUGUUUUCCAAUCUUCAUAUCCACAUAUUUUCCUCCUAUUGAUUGUUAAUAACUGUUUGUGAUGGCCAACUUGCACUUGCUAAUGCUCCUUUCGGUUCCACCUUCACAAUCACAUGCUUUCGGCUUCGCCACCCGCUAGACAAUUUAAUGCUCCUUACAAACCAUUUAUUUAGGAAAGGAAAAAUGGAAGAAAAAGCCACACCGCAUAUCCACGUGCCUGCGGGAAAACGUUCUCCACUUUUUCAACUUCAAAGUCCAAAUGCUAAAUCCGAUAAGCAUAUGCUAGUUCUAAUUGCUUUUGAAUUGCAAUUGGACAGCUCUAAUUUUUAAAUUAUAAUAUUUAAAUAUUUAAUAAAUUUUAGGACUCGCCUAUCGUGUAAUAGUGGCAUCAUGUCACCGCUUUUGUCUUUUUUGUGUAAAAUUUCAUGAAACCCUUUCACUUAUUUUUAUUUGAAUUUUACUUCACAAAUAUUAAGUUCAUUUCUCCCAAACCCGUGAAUCCUUCAACGGCCGGUCAACGGCAAAUCGGCUCCUCUGGUGGCUGUGGUUGGCCAGAAAAGACAGAAGGAAUUAUGGAGAACAAAACUCAAGUGGUGGCGUCAUCGGAAACCGGAGAAACCGCGGCAAAUUGAAGCGGGGAUUCUGUGACUUUUCACGGCUUCGAUCGGCAGCUUUCUGAAUGCUUUACGGCGACAAGGAUGGCAUGGAGAUGACCGGUGUCGCACGAGCUUCCGAUCGGUACCAACCUUGGCUGGUGGAGUUGCCGGAAACGGAAACAAAAUCCGGGUCGGGUUCGCGGGUCGGGUUGACCCAGUUAUUUUUGUGACAAGGAUGGUGUGGAGAUGACCGGCGUCGCACGAUCUUCCGAUCGGUACUAACCUUGGCCGGUGGCGUUGACGGAAAUGGAAACAAAAUUCGGGUCGGGUUCACCGGUAUUUGUGAUAAAGAGAGGGGUAUUGUGAUCAAGGUGUAAUAUAGAAGAAAAAUGUAUAAAUAACAAAUAGUAUAAGGUGCUAAUUAUAAUGUUUAUAUGGAUGCAAUAGAAAUUAAUUUAAUAUUUAUGAGGUAAAUUUUAAAUAAAAAUAAAUGAAAGGGGUUCAAUGAAAUUUUACAACACAGCUGGCACAAAAGACAAAACCAGUGGUACCGUAGCUGGAUCCUAAAUUUUAAUAGCUAUAGUUUGAAGACUAAAUUGAUUAAAUUUUAUAUUUAUUAAUUUUAUCAAAAUAAUUAUCUAAAAAAUAUUUAUUAUAUAUAAUUAAUUUUUAUUUUAUAAUUAUAAUUUUAUUACUAUAAUUAUAACUUUUAAAAAAUUACCGUACCUUAAUAUCAAAUAGAAUAUAAGCCAUGGAUUGAUUCGGCUACAGACUAUUGCAUGUAGACAACGUUCAUGAUGGCCACUUCGGCCUUGGCCGAAGUGGUGGGCUACUGCCCUCACAAGCAUUGUGAGGGGUUAAAUGUUCUUUAUAUUUAAAAAUCCUUCUCCCUUGUGAAAUGCAAGUGGAGUAUGGACAUCUCUCUCACGUGAGGAGUUAUUUGUCUGGGCAUGUACUUCAUAGAAUUCAAUGUAAUAAUGUAAGUCCCAAUCAUAUAUAUCUGAUUAUAAAUAUCAGUAUAAUAUCUCUACUAUAAUAAUAAUUGUUAUAAAUAUCUGUGUAAUACAGUAAUAUAAUGAUUAAUUAGUAUUAAAAAAAAAAAAAAAAAAACAACGUUCAUGAUGGACCCUGAAAUGGAUUAAGGCCAUUCCAAAGACUUUUUUCACAACCCCAUUUCAUUCAAGUUUGAAGUGCAGGGCCCACCCAAUUUGUUGUCCUUUCAUAUUUUCUCUUCAUUACAAGUGGAUGAAAUUUACAAUUUUCUUAAAAAUAAAUAAAAAGGAAACUUUUAUCCCACUCCCACACACACAUAAAUGCCUAGCUAGUGGCUAUAAAUUUCCCUAGUCCUAACCACUUUAUAAAUUAUAUCUAAAUUGUUUUUAGAUUGAUAUCAGUCCAAGUAUACUGUUCAUUCUUCGAAUGGUGUUGUUAAGUUAGGUAAUAAUGUAACUUACAUUAAUUCAAAAUAUGUAUUUAAUGAUUUAAAAAGUAAUUUAGUUAGUUCUAUUUUUAAGUCACUAGUUACAAUUUAUCGAUUGAUGUAAGUACAUCAUAAUGUAAUUUAACAAGGACAUCCUUCAAAAUAUUCUCUGGAUAGGAUAAUAUGGUUUGUCUAAUUCACUAUCAUGCAAAUAUAAAAAUAUUCAUUUCCCAAGAUCAUUGUUUUACUGACAUAUAACAUAUAUUUACGGCUCUUUUGGUUUUAGUCAUGGACUAAUUGGGAGUUUUAUAUUUAACGAGUAUAAUCUUACAGCUCCAAUAUACUUCUAUGAUGAUUAUUUUUGCUAAUCACAUAUGAAAAUCCGAAAAUCACUAAUCAUCCAUUGAAUUUUUUAAGGUAGCAUUUAUUUUUUCGCUUGAAAUACAAAUAAACUUGAAUUAGUCAUGAAUUCUAAAUAGAGUUAGAUUUUUAAAUUUAAAUUAAAAGUUUUUAAAAUUCAAAUGCCUGAUAAUAAGUAAUAAACAUCUCAAUAAAUUUAAGAAAGAUAAUAUUAUGUCAUAAUAUAAAUCAUGUUCGUGUGAAUAUAUAACUUUUUAAUACUCUAAAUUAGAAUAUAUUAUUAAUUUUAUUCUGAUUUAUAAUGUAUUAUGUGAAAAUACUCAUAAAAAAUUGUAAAGAUAAAUAAUACUAAUUUGAAGUAUAUAAAAAUAAUAAUGCCACUAUUUCAUUAUCACAUAUUAAUGCUAAUUAAUAAUUUUAUUUAAGUAAGGAUGAAAAUGAAUACGAUUAUUUUAGAAAAUAUUUUUUAAUGAUGACAUUAUAAUUUUUUAAUUAAAUAAAAAUCUAAAAAAUAAUUUAACAAUUUAAUAAUUAAAAUUUUUUAUUAAGUUGAAAACCAAACAUACUUAAUAACUUAAUUAUUUGAUAUUAAAUCAUUGAAUUAAAAUAAAUAAAUAACUCCAAAUAUACAUUUAAUAUGACUUAUCUAAUAGUUAAAAAUACUUCUUUACUCUUAUAAAUUCUUUAUUUUUUUUAUAUUAGUUGGUUGUAGUUUAUAUAAAAUCUUGAAAUUAAAUAAACUACUUUGGCCCAACUAAUAAAAUUAAAUUUUUUUAAAUUUUAAAUUCUUUUUUUUUUGAUUAAUUGGGGCUCUAAGAAGAGCUAGAGAACAACAGUACGGGGGUGAGAAACCUUGUAAGAGUCAUGCAAUAACAGAGCCCUAACGCCCAAAGGGGGGAAAGGGUACACAGUAAGGCCUAGCGGAAUAGAAAAAACGAGGUUCGCCAUAUAAUCUGCAACAAAAUUUACUUCUCUGUAAAUAUGAGAGAUAGAAACAUGCCAAUCCAAUUUGAGAUAAUCUUUUAUAGCCUGGCAAAGCCUGUUAGCCAACGUCCUAAGUGAUCUCGAAUCAAACCACCUGCAGUGGAAGUCCCGUGAGACUUGUGAGCACCAUCCGUAUUCAGAGUACACCAGGGCCACUCAGGAGGAUGCCAAGAAAUCCACAUGUGAGCCCUAAUAUUCCUAGUGAGCAACGGGUGGUUAUGAAGCUUGUGAAUCUCCUCAGCUCUUGUAUGGACAUCCACCAACAAAGCCAAAGGGUCCAACAUCAAUUUGUUAAAGAGAAACUGGUUUCGCCAAUACCAGAUCCUCCAUAACGCGACGCCAAAAAAAACAGCCCAGUUCGAAACAUUCCCUACCUUACUAUUAACAGCCAGAUUCGAGCAGAGCCAAAGAUUAAGCCGAGAAUUAAAGAAACUGUGUCGUUUGCUUGUCGGAAUAAUGUUGAGCCAAAACUGCUUAACCAACCAACAAUCACGUUCCAUUUAUUUUAUAUUUUUCAGAAUAAAAAAUUUGUACAUUAAAAUGAUUUUACGACAUUUAAUAAAAACAUACCGCAAGCAACCAAACUACUAAUAAAUUUCUUUUAAUAAAAGCUGAAGCUCCAUUGAUGAAAACUCUCGUUAAACCUCAUAUUUAAAAAGCUACGAUAACAAUAACGGAGCCUCUUAACGCCGGUGACACUAAUACCCAUCCGAUCAUUAGCAGUUUUGCAGACGGUCAAGCAUCGCUGACCGCCAGGCAAUGGCUCCAAUCACAUGCUUAUGUAUCAGUUAUCACGUCACUUUCGCCCGACAUAUUAAAACAUAAAUUAGAGAUCAGGGCGGACUGCAUAUAAAAUUAUAAGUAAUCAUCACCAUCAUCAACAACAAUUGAAAAAGAAAAUGGAAAAUCGAAAUCUGAAAGACUCACCUUUGACAUUCAUAAACAAUAUAAUAAUAUCAUCACUCACAUAACGAAAACCUUAAUAAUUAUCAAUCUGAGAUUACAUGCAUUGUUAUUUGUUAAACACCCUAUUUAACCAUAGGCUUAAACGAGGUGAGACUCUUGAAAUGCUCCCAUGGCUUCUCCCAAACGACAGCUUCAAAUUUCUUGGUCGAAGGUCCGUCCUUGACGACCAAGAUCAGCCGGUAAUUGGUGCCGGAAACCACCUGAGUCUCGGCCUUCUCCACGCUCUCGAACUUCAACGCGCUCUUUGACCGUUUGUUGUACUCUGUCACCGCGAACUGCCCGAUCUCCAUCACGUGCUUCUCCGUGGGGUCUAUCGGAGUCCAUCCCCCAAAUAUAGGCUUAAACGAUGUGAGACUCUUGAAAUGCUCCCAUGGCUUCUCCCAAACGACAGCUUCAAAUUUCUUGGUCGAAGGUCCGUCCUUGACGACCAAGAUCAGCCGGUAAUUGGUGCCGGAAACCACCUGAGUCUCGGCCUUCUCCACGCUCUCGAACUUCAACGCGCUCUUUGACCGUUUGUUGUACUCUGUCACCGCGAACUGCCCGAUCUCCAUCACGUGCUUCUCCGUGGGGUCUAUCGGAGUCCAUCCCCCAAACAUAGGCUUAAACGAGGUGAGACUCUUGAAAUGCUCCCAUGGCUUCUCCCAAACGACAACUAACAAUUUCUUGGUCGAAGGUUCGUCCUUGACGACCAAGAUCAGCCGGUAAUUGGUGCCGGAAACCACCUGAGUCCAGGCCUUCUCCACGCUCUCGAACUUCAACGCGCUCUUUGACCGUUUGUUGUACUCUGUCACCGCGAACUGCCCGAUCUCCAUCACGUGCUUCUCCGUGGGGUCUAUCGGAGUCCAUCCCCCAAGCAUAGGCUUAAACGAGGUGAGACUCUUGAAAUGCUCCCAUGGCUUCUCCCAAACGACAGCUUCAAAUUUCUUGGUCGAAGGUCCGUCCUUGACGACCAAGAUCAGCCGGUAAUUGGUGCCGGAAACCACCUGAGUCUCGCCCUUCUCCACGCUCUCGAACUUCAACGCGCUCUUUGACUGUUUGUUGUACUCCGUCACCGCGAACUGCCCGAUCUCCAUCACGUGCUUCUCCUUGGGGUCCUCUAUCGGCUUCCAUCCCCCAACCAACGCUCCUUUACGGUCGCCGGCGGCCAGGAGAGGGACCACGGAGAGAAAGAGAACAAUAAGACAGCAAAAACGUUGAUUCAUUUUCGUUGUUUUGGUAACCGUUCACACCAAAGUCCGUGACUUCCGGUUCUUGAGUGAAUACUUCGCCUUGGCCCCUGGUUUUGGAUUUUAUACGCGGCGAGUUUUAGUGCACCGACACGUCUGUACGCUUUGUCUGAUUUGAAAAGGAGGUACACGUGACAGUCAGUGGUGUGAUUUCUGUGGUCUUAUCAUAUACGUGGCGGUUUACGAAAUGGGGCCCGCAUUCUUGGCGUGGCAGGAUGUGAAUACUGAGUGGGAAGGAGAAUGUAUGUGCUUUAGCACACCUGAGCAUUUACCACUGGAGAGUGAUACUGACGCAGGCAAAUAAUAAAAUAAUAAUAUCUAAUUGGGUGAGACUGAUUUCUUCUCUACACUACACCUUUUUUUUUAAUUAAAAAAAUAUAUAUUUUUUUAAAUUACUUAAUUAAUAUUUUUUCUUUGUCUAGAGAAGUGAUACUGACGCAGGCAAAUAAUAAAAUAAUAAUAUCUAAUUGGGUGAGACUGAUUUCUUCUCUAGACUACACCUUUUUUUUUAAUUAAAAAAAAAUAUUUUUUAAAAUUACUUAAUUAAUAUUUUUUCUUUGUCUAGAGAAGUGAUACUGACGCAGGCAAAUAAUAAAAUAAUAAUAUCUAAUUGGGUGAGACUGAUUUCUUCUCUAGACUACACCCUUUUUUUAAUUAAAAAAAUAAAUUUUUUUUAAAAUUACUUAAUUAAUAUUUUUUCUUUGUCUUUUUAAUUUUAUAAUUUUUAAUCAAUUCACUGAAAUAUGUUUUUCUAUUUAUAAAUAAAAAGAACAAAAUCUACUAUUUAAAAAUAACAUUAAUAAACUUUUUUCGUUAUUAAAAUUAAUGAAUAUCAAUAAAUUAAUUUUUAUCAAAUACAAAAAUUAAUAAAUAUUAAAAAAAAUUCGUAUAUAAAAAAUAUAAAAUAGAGCUCAUAAUAUAUUAAAAAAGGGUAAAACCAUGAAUUAAUUGUUUAGUUUAUAAAAUAUAAGAAGGUAGGAAGAAUAUCCAUUGUAAAAUUAAAAUGAAAAAAAGAAAGAGAUAAGUAAUUUUAAAUUUUUAAAUUUUUAAAAAUAAAUUUGUUUUGUAAAAUAAAAAAAAAAUUAAUGAAUUUAAACAACCUUAUCCUAUCCUAUUUAAUUUAGGUAGCCCCACCAUAACUAAUUAGACAGCAGAGAUAAGAAAAUUACGUGAACUUUAAAUGUGAUACUUUCUUCUGGAACAUUACAGAAUUUCCAACUAUGAAUCUUUCGAUUUUUUUUCUUUUUUUACUUUUAGUCAAAAUAAAUUAUCAUUAUUAUUAUAAUUAUUUUAUCGACAACUAUUAAUAAAAGCCCAGGAUAUUAAAUUCGAGUGAUGGAUAAAUAAAAAAUUGUAUUUUCUUCCUUCUCCAUCCCCGAUGCGCCGUGCUCAAUUUCUUCCUUCUCCAUGCAUGCUCAACGGCAUAGGGAUUGCCACUUAGGCUUGUAGUUUAGUAGUGAAUCAUUAUUUUUAAAGUUAAGUAUAAUUAUGAGGGUAAUUAUUUGAGUUCUUAUGGACUCAAUUUUUCUCAAUUAAAUAUAAUUAAGUGAAGACUUCUUAUAACGUCUUUCUCCUUUGGGAAAUGUGAGUGGAGUAGAAACAUCUUCCUCUGUGAGAGAUAUUUGGUUGGGUUUGUACUUUAUAGAAUAAAAAUAUAAUAAUAUAAGUCUCAUAUAUAUAUUUAAUUAUAAAUAUUAGUGUAAUGACUGACUGUCAUAACAAUUAUAUAUAUCUCUGUGUGUAAUACAGUAAUAUGAUGCUUAUUUGGUUAAAAAAAAAAAAAAAAACAGCAUAGAGGUUGUUCACUUUUCCCCUCCCUCACAAAGGACACAUAGCCAAUGGCAAGGCCGAAGCGAACACAACCACCAACAGUGCCAGUUCUCGCUGGAAAUAUGAGGCAGGAGGGUGAUGCAAGUUUGGGAGGCUGCUGGCGGGACGAAGAGCCGUGGCCUGCAGCUGAUCGACGCGGCGUGGACGAUGGUGACUAGCGGCUGCAAAAUCAUAACCCUGAAAUUUUAGGGCUUCCUAUUUGUUUUGGUUUGGGUGGUUUUUCAUAAUUUAUUAUCAAAUAAAUUAUUUUGAUUGAGUUAAAAAUAAAUAAAUAAAAAAUUGAAAGUUGAUGUUGUUUGUGAUGCUUUCAAAGCAAGUGUAUGGUGCUAUUGCUAUGGAUACUGGGACAGGCAAUGAUGCUGGAGUUUGAAGAAAAUUGAGUCCCAAAGAAACAAGAAGCGGUGAUGGUUGCUGAUAGACGCGGCAAAAUUUAUCGAUCCUUACGAGGGUGACAAAAAAGUAACCGUAGAAUUUAAGACACGCAUUCGACUAGUAACGCGCAAGAUGAGCACACAGGAAAGCACGCUCCUCUCACAAAUACACAAGCAAGCAUUCGCAUUUCAGCCACCCUACUGUUCUCAGUGACUCUCGGAUGACACUCUCAUGCAUUUCACGGCAUUCAUCGCCCUGAAACCUUGGACAAAGAAGGAAGUUGGUUAUUAUUCGUAAUUUCAGACAACGGUGAUACAAUUUAAUCUUAUUACACACAUUAAAAUUUUUAUAAACUAAUAUUGCCGGCACUAGCAAAAAAAAAUUUAUUUUUGUAAAGUUAAUAAAUGAAUAGUCUACUAAUUUAUUGAUAAAUAAAUAUUUAAUAAUUUACAGAGAGAUUUUUUUUAAUAAAAAAAAGAACAACCAUUACGGAUUGUUUUGGUCAUUGCAAGUUCCGGUUAGGCCAAGGUACGGUUAUUUGACAACAAGUUGGUGAAGACGAAGGCAUUCAUGAACUAGAUGAAGUUAUUUUUGGUCUACACUACAAAAAUAUGAUAGAUAUUGAGAGCCUUUUGAAUUAUCGGAGUGAAAAUGAUACACUGAUGGAAUCAUCUAUUGACGAAGAGAUUAUUCAAGUAUAGUGGAUUUCUCUAGUGAUGAUGAUUAAUGAUGAUGAUCAAUAAGAUAGUUUUGUUUUACAAAAUGUUUUCGCAAAAAGGCAUUUCAAGCAAUAGUAGCCUUAAAUAAUUACUUUUAACACACAAAAAAAAAGAAUACCAAGUUUACACAAAAAAAAAAAAAAAACAAGACUAAGUUCAAUUUAGGAACAAAUAAAAAAUCAAUAACUUUAGAUGUAGAUUUUGCAAAGAGUUGAAUGCAGAUAAUUGAAGUUGUUUAUAUUUUAUUUACUAUUAAUUUUUGUGUUUGAUUAAUUUUUAAUUUAUAUUUUCAUUAGGCCCUAAAAGAUUUAAAAAUAUUAUUAUCUUAUGCAUUAGACAAAUUAUUAAUUUAAUAAACUAGCCUAAAUCAGAGAAUCAAGAUUAUUAACUUAUCAAAUAUUUAUUUAUCGUAAAUUUACUGUAUUGUAAUUAAGAAUUUUUCACAAGGGAUAAUGAUCGAUUAUUUGCUGGCGAGAGCUCUCUGAGAACCUUUUUCUUUUUAAAUAAAUAUUGUUUUCCAUAAAAUCGUAUAAAAGCAAGUGCCACCUAGCUACAUCUAAUAAAUAAAUAAAUUUAUCCAACUUUGUUUAUUGCAGACCUUAUUUUUUACAUAUUAAAUGCUAGUGACGAGGCAUCGUGGAAGGAAUUCACUGACAAUUCAGUAUGCUGCGGAUAAUGCAUGUAUAAAUUUUUAGGGGCGCGUAAAUCAGUUUCCGUUCAAACUACAACACAUUCAAUUUAGAGUAUUAGGAUUGGAUUCAAAUGGUGAACUCAAUCUAAACCAAACUGAAUUUAAUUCGAUUAAAUUCAUAUUACAAAUUUAGGCUACAAGAGUUUCAAUCACUACCUCGUAAAACAAGUCAAACAUAUGGAAAAAAAAAAUCAAUAAAAAUCACAUAUCUAAGUCACUCCAAUCUCACAUUCAAAAUCUCAGGACCCAGUUUUCAAGAUUCAAUUUUGAGUCCCUUUCCAUAAGUAUCGCAAGUUUCGUACAUCAAUUAACAUUCAUUUUAGUUUUCUCAUGAAUGUGAUUGAAUGAUUUACUCUUGCUAUGGAUCAUGAGAUGUGAUUGAAGAAGUUCUUAAAUCUAUUUAUUAGUAUAGGGUUAGUAUACAUUAUUAGAUGAAUGAUUUAUCUUUAAUGUCAUGUGGUUGUCAAUGAAUGGUUAACUCCUUAUUUAUUAUGAUCUAUUGAUUGUAACUUAUUUUCACUUAUAACUCACCAUAUUUAAAGUCUUAGAGUAUAGCUCUAGAUAACUAGAGCUAGACUUUUUUCAACUUACUCAUAUUGAUUGUCACUCAAGAGAUGUAAACAUAAACAAAUUAUCAACAUGAGAAUAUCUUAAUAAGAUCACAUACUUAAGGGAUUGAGAACUCCUCUCCUAUAAAAUCUAUGUAUAUCACCAAGAGUUAUCGCUAUGUUUUAUUGUCACAAUCAACAAGCUAAGUAUACUUCAAAAUUAAAAUUGCCUAAGCUCUAUAUAGCUCAUAAUUGAAUCGCCGAGCUCAGUUAUAAAUUGCGAGAGCUAAUUGAGUGCAACUCAAUUACCAUCGCCACAACUGAGUAUAGCUCAGUAUUGAAAUCACUACAACUGGCAAAUUGUAGCUCAGUUAUCUCUUACUACAGCUUUGUACAUCAUAGUUAUGAAUUGCUAGAGCUAAGUUUAACUUAGUUUGAAAUCAUUAGAGCUGUGAGAAAGCUCAACUACAGACUCCAAAAUAACUUAGAAGUUUACUAAUUAACAAAAGGCGACUCAGCAGCGAGUUGCCACAUGUCACCCCCACAACAUUUUCUCUUAAGUUUCUUGUGCGUUAAUUAUUUCAACACAAGAAACUAGAUGGAUCUUGUUUUGGGUAAAUUUAGGACAUUAUUUUAGAAAAAUAGGCAAGUACAUGCGGCAGUAGAGAAUAAACGAGAAGAAAAGUUAACACUUUUAAGUGAAUAAGGGAUAGCUCAAGACAAGUUAGAGGUAAUCUUUGAAAGAGAGAGAGGAUAACUCCAGGAAAUUUGCCCAGUUUAAAAGUGAAAGUGGAAUUAAAAAAUGAUAAUUGGAGCCCUCACGUGUGGGCUGCAUGCCAUCAGAAAAAGGGUUAAAUAUCUUGUCUAUUAUGCUAAAAACAAGAGACCAAUAGCAGAAUAAUUAGCUGACAUAGCAAUGAGGAAAGGACAUGUUAGCACUGCUUAAUUAUCCCUUAAAAAAUAGUAGGAUCACUGCACCAGCUUCUGCCACGUGGCAAAGAGCAAUGACCACAUGAAGGUUAAAGGAAUGAAUUAUUCACCAAACUUACUUGGUCACUAUUUGAGGAAGGCAGCACCAAUAGAAAAUCUCCGUAUGAUAGAAAAGAUAAAAAUGUCCCUAGGGCGUUUAUCCUAGAAAUUUAACUCAGGACAAGAUAAUAGACUUUUUCUCCAUAUUUGAUUUUUUGAGAGGCUACUUCAUGUUCUUCUUCCUGCAAUUUUAGGAUUUUUUAUUUCAUUUUUAUACCUCCAUGGAAGAUUUCAGUGAUCUCAUCUCUUAAAGAAACUUUUUCAUUAUUUUUUUCUUAGAAAACUAUCUAAUCUUCAUAAGACCCACAUCUUCCUCAUGUUAUUAUUCAUCCUAAACAAACUUUAAUAAGAUUUUGUUAAUAUUAUAAAUAAAUAAAUAUAUAUAUAGGACAGUUAUUAUUCAAUCUGAAAGUCCUGGAUUGGAUCAUUGUCUGGGAAUCCACUGGGAAUCCAACGACCCCUGGUGUCUUUUUUUUUUAAUUUGUUGCUGCACAUGGUGGGGCCCACCAUGUGCAGCCACUAGGCUUUGUCCCAAAAACUGUUUCACAAUUUCCUAUAUAUAUAUAUGUAAUACUUUUUUUAUUUAUUAGAUUGGAAAUAAAUUACUCCCGUGGAUAUAAGCCUAAUGACGAAUCAUGUAAAAUCUUAUAUGCUCUUUAUGAUUUACGUGUAUUUCCUACUUAUUACAAUGGUUUUAAACUUCAUAUAUGAGCUAACAUGAGAUAUACUGAUAAGUUCUCUAGAAUUAUCUCUUGAUUGCACCUAGGGUGCCAUUAAGCUCUCUUAAGCUUGCCAUAUCAACGCUCUAUGCUAACUCCAACGAGCUUUAUUGAGUUAUCUAAGUUAUUCCAAAUUCAAAAUAUUUUAGUUCACCUUUGAGAUCACAUCAGCUAUAUCUUUUGCCCCAAAUGUUAAAAAAAACAAAAAAACCUAUCUCUGCUAGCCCAAUCUCUCCAUAAAUAUAAAUUUAUUUAUUUAAAUCAAAUUUGACUUUGAUCUGGUAAGAACAACCAAUAAAUAAUUCAAAUCAAAUUUUAGUCAAAAUCUGGUGAGAACUUGAAUAUUUUUAUAUACAUAUACCUUCUUUUAUAUGAUGUUGUCUUGAAGCUGAAGCUAGGUUAGCAGAAGUAGUAGUACUAGUACUAGUGCUUCUCAUGGGCGGAUAGAAAAUGCAGAAAUUAUAUUUUGAACUAUAUAUGUUCAAUAAAAGGGAAAAAACUCAAUAUGGUGUGCUAACCACUAAGGGAAGCAUUCAUUAGGCACGCAAAUAUACAAUAGGCGUCUUUUCUUAUAGGAAAAGCAUCAAUUUUUAUCAUCAUCUCAUCAAACACUAGCAUUGCUAUAAUUCCUAUUCAGGGUCCCCCAAUGCCUGUUACGGAGACUUGAUUGAGAGAAACCUCCACAGUUUACAAGAGUUUGCAGCUACUGAACAUCCCCAUCUGUCCCAAAAACAUAAGCACCUGCAAUAUCCAAAAUUUGUCAAUACAUUUGUAUCAAGAAACAGUAAACAAUUAAUGUCGCGGUAAGAUUAUUUACCAAGUGUAGGCAUUAGAAAGGCCAGAGCAGCAAUGCCAGCAAUCUUAAGGGGCAGCCCUGUCUUGAUCAUAUCUUGAAUUUCGAUGUGCCCGGUUGUGAAUCCAACAAUAUUUGAAGGGGUUCCAGUCGGCAACAAGAAAGAAAAUUGUGCUCCAAUUGCUCCAGGAACCAUAAGAAGCAAUGGAUGAACAUGCAUAGUUUUUGCUAUUUGGAUCAGAAGUGGAAGAACGAGAGUUGUUGUGGCAUUAUUUGAUGUGAAUUCAGUAAUAAUCGCGCUAAUCAGACAUACGAUAGGUGCAAUGGCUAAAUAUGGCGCCGCCUCCAGGAAAUCCAAUGCUUUUGACAGAUCAUCAGCAAGACCGCUAGUCCUGACUCCAUCAGCUAUAGCAAAGCCAGCCCCUAAAAGCAAUAUAAUGUUCCAAGGUAGCUUCUUGCAUUUGUUCCAAUCCAUCAAUUUUUCUCCCUUUUGCUUCAUGCUCGGAAUUAUGAACAACAAUGUUGCCAUCACAACCUAUAUUUGUGUGUGUGUGUGUGUGUGUGUGUGUAUACAUAUGUAUUAAUAAUUCAGUUAAAAAUCAUCCAAAAGCUUGAUUAAACAUGUCUCAUUUAAUUAUGUUCUCAAAUGAUAAACAAAAGACCAAAGAGUACUCACACUAGCAGUUCCAUCACCAGCACGGUCAUUGAAGAGUGCUCCCCAACCUGGAAUGUCAUCUGUUAUUGAUCUUGUCAUCCACAAUGCUAUUAGCAUCUGCAUCAUUUAUCUUAAAUUAACUUGAAGACAUUUCCAAUAACAUUAUGCACAUCACUUAAAAGGGGAGAAAAAAAAAAAUUACAGCUCAGCUCACCCCAAAUACAGCUAGUACCAUCUUUUCAGCAAAAGCCAUUGGACCUGCCAAGAAAAACACCAAACAAUAGAAUUAAGCCACUGAACAUUAAUUAGCUGUAGCUGUCAUUAAUUGGACAGACAGCAGGGUCUUACCUAACAUGUCAAGCUCUCUCUUGAGAUUUGCUUUGUCCAAAUACUCGGAGAGAGCAGGUCCAGAUCCCCUUGAACAAUAGAACAAGCACAAAAUAGCCCACAAAGCAACGAAAAUCACUAAAGCCAAAGGGAACCCAAAACAGAACCAGGUACUGAAGCUGAUCGGGUUUGCUUCUGGAAAAUAGGUCUUCCACAUCCCGACCAAUAUUAGAUUAACACCUGUUCCAGUAAGUGUGCUCAUCCCUCCUACGGCUGCAGAGUAGAUGACCCCGAGCACCACAGCUUUGCAAUACUUCCUAACAAGGGUUGAUUGAAGAGGAACCUCUGGCAAGUUCUGUAAGAUCCCAGUGGCCACUGGCAUCAUGAUCACUGCUGCUGCCACGUUAUGCAUCCACAUGCUCACGAAUGCUGUCGUGCCACAUAUCCCAAGAAGCAGCAAGGGCGGAUUCAUUGGCUCUCCACAGAAUAGAAUAGUUAUCUGUAGUUAUUAAUAUAUAUAUGGUAUAGGAUUGUCCAUACAUAAUUAAUUCAUCUUUUGUCACUGAUAAUUUUUCUGAAAAAGAAAUCGUAACAAUUAAUGACAUGAUGAUGAUGAUGCAUUACGGGAACUUACAUUUAAGGCCAAUCUUUUGUGAAUGUUGUAGUGCUCAACGGCAAGAGCAAGAAUAAAGCUACCAAGAACGAGGGCAAUAACAUCAUCCAUGUAAGAAUGAGCAACGGUGUCAGCAGAAGAGAUACCAAACAGAGGAAACAGAAACAGAGGCGCCAUAGAGGUAAUGGGCAUGGGUACGGCCUCCGUGAGCCACCAAGCGAAGACCCAAGCAAGAACACCCAACAUGUUCCUGCUUGUCGCCUGCCCAUCGAGCUUCACACAUACACAUAUAACAGCGCACAGGAGAGGUCCUAGGAGGAUGUAGAAAUUGUUUGGUGUGAAAAUGGUUUUCAAUGUGAAGUGGGAGCUUGGUGACCGUUGGAUUUGACGAUGGGAAGGUAGGAGUGGCGCCUUGAUGUCACCAGAAUUUGGAUGAGCUUCGUGGUCACCGUUCAUUUUGCAGUGAACGUGUAACACGAUACGAGAGAAAAUUGAAGGUGUCGUUCGAAAGUGGAGGUUGCUGCAUGCCUUGGCCUUUUUAUAUGAAAAAUGUGAAGAGGAGGUGGAAGUAGACAACUUCUCUUUACCAUGACCCAACGACAGACGGCCAAGUGGGCACCAAACCUCCCCGAUUUUAACUGAAAAUAUACUCCUGCGUUGUAAGAAUUGAACAAGUCGUGUAUCUUACCGUGGACCGAUGUGAUAUUUGAAUUAAAAUAUUCUUACCGUGUAAGAAUAUACUCAAAAUAAUAUUUUUUAGUUGAACUUUUUCCUUUUAGAUAAGUCUAAAACGAUGUUGUUUCAAAUGUGUUUUUAUCCAUGCUUCGAUUCAUUAUCUGAAAAAUAAAACUAAAAAAUCUGAAUCAGACUGCCCCAACUUCAAAUUCAUUAUCCACUCACUACAUGACUCGUAACCUCAUCAUAUCUGAAUAUAUACAUGUAUAUAUACACACACACAUGCCCCAGAUCUACUGGACUUGAAAAUGAUGUAUUUUUUACAGGUGGGCAAAAUUUAAUUUACAAAUUUGCAUGAUGAUGAAGCUUCCGUGUCAGCUUCGUUAAGUGGUAAUCAAGAGCGUACUGGGGUUUCCGAUAAAUCAUGAUAUUGUAUAUUUGUAUGCAAUCAUCAAUCGGGGUCCGAGGAUUGAGGUUCGUAAUUAAUUAAUAAAUAAAAUGAAAAGAGAGAACCUCAACACCACAAGCUAAUCCAAUUAUUGCUCGACUAUCCAUCACAAUAAUUUGAAAACCCUGUUCAUAGUUCCACGUGUCGGACGAUGUUUUUCGCAAUAAUGCAACGUUUGGCACAAAACGUGGGCUCAGGGGUCCACCCCGAAAUUGACCUGUUGGGUCAUAUGUCUUGUCUUUCACCAAUCGUUAAAAAGCACAAAAAAAAAAAAACAAAAAAAAAAUCUAGGAUUCCCUCCCUCUCCGGAACUCUCUUAAACUUUUAACAAUUUUAUAUUGGGUCCUUCUAUCUUACAUGCAUGUAAGAUACAUUCCUCUCAUAUGAAUAGUGUGUGGAUCCCACACAUGCACUAUUCAUGUGAGGGGGAUGUAUCUUACAUGCAUGUAAGAUAGGAUUUGCCUUUUAUAUUUUAUACGAUGUAAUAAUAGUAUACAAAUAGAAUUGAGCUUCUUUAUUUAUUUAUUUAAUACUGAUUACACACUAAAUUAUUAUAUUACACAAAUAUUUAUAAUUACUAUUAAAUAUUACAUUGAUAUUUACAAUCAGAUAUAUAUAACUGAGACUUAUAUAUGAUUACAUUAAAUUCUAUGAAAUAUAUGUCCAGAUAAAUUAUUCUUACAGAUAAGAGAUGUCCUACUUCACUUAUAUUUCAUAAAGAAAAAAAAGUUAUAAAUAUUUAGAUCCCACAAUAUUUUCGUGGGGGCUUGUGAGGUCAGCAACCCACCACUUCGACCAAAGCUGAAGUGGCAGCUUCUUUAUUUUUAAAAUUACUAACUAAUCAAUAGAUAAAUUUUCAGUCAAGAGUGCUCAAUUGAAAUUUAGAUUGCGCGAAAAUCUUUAUUCAAAAUAAGGUGGCGGUGAAUACUUUUUUUUUUUUUUUCUUUUUUGGGAAUGAAAAUUUACAUUUUGUUUUCUUAGAAUUUGCACAUUUUGUAGCGGAUCUAGUUUUCCACGUACAAGACAAUCCCAGGGUUUGCAUUUUUUAAAAACUUGAAUUAAUAUGAAAUUUAAAUAGGCGUGAAUGAUAUAUUAAAUAUAUGAAAAUACUUAUACAUACAUAAAAGAACCCACCCACGUAAAAAACUAGUAAUAGUAAAUGAAGAAUAAGAUCCUAAGCUAUGUCCAUUUUUAUCCAAUUUAAUUUUUUUUCCCACUCGUAUGCAGGAAAAGAAACUGCACACAAACCUGGUCGUCUAAUUUAGAGAGUACGUCAACACAGGCAACUCAAAGAAAAAGAACAAUUAGAGUUCGAGAGUUUGGAGUCGAUACUCCUCCAUAGGCGGCCGCUCGAUUAAUGCCAGCUACAAGUUACCUCUUUCAUUUUUAUUUUUCCUUUUCAAGUAUUUUAAGUAGACUUUAAUUUUACUAAAAAAUUAAGAGAAAUGCUCUAAUGUAUGACGUAAUGAUGGGUAUGCACAUGCAUGCAUGCAUAUAUAAUUUUUUUUUAGUAAUGAUAUAGCCACAAACUCUUGUACAAACUUAUUUUGUACAAACUGAUGUGGCAUGAUAAAAUUAGUUGAAUUAAAAAUCUUUUGGCCCACAUGAUUUAUUUAUAUUAUUUUAUAUUUUCAUUCAACCAAUGAAUUAAUGCCACAUCAAUUUGUACAAGAUACGUUUAUACAAGAGUUUGUGGCUGUAUCAUCACUCAUGUUUUUUUAUUACAUGAGACCAAUGCUUAUGAUUACAAUUCAUAUUACAUGAAAUUAUUUAUUGAUAUAUUUAUAAUCAAACAAUUACUGAGAUAAAGAUUGACUUUUUAUCCUCCUAAAUAUUUAAAGAAUUUUUUAUUUCAGUCUCAUUUUAAAAGAGAAAAUAUUAUCUUCACACAAUUAUCAUUUAAAAAGUAAAUUUUAGAUCCAACAAUACUUUAGUGCAGGGGCAGCAGCCCUGCCCCCGACUGCAUGCAUAUAUAAUUUAAGAAACAAUAUAUUCCCCUGAUUUGAGCACUACUGAAUUUUUAAUCUUAAUAUAUAAAUAAAAUUUAAUUUCUUUUAUUUUUUUAUUUAUUAACAAUUAAUCAAUUAUCAUAUUCUUUCCUUAUCUAUAAUUUUUUUUUUUUUUUUGAAAGGAAGAAAUUUCAUUAAGCAAAACUUACAAACUGUUUAACAACCACAGAGGUGGAACAACAUUCCACUCCUGGGGACCUGACAAAGAACCUGUUGCCCUCGCAACGGAGUGAGCAGCAAGAUUCGCAGAUCGACACACAAAGGAGAAUUGCACUUCUCCGAUAAACUUAACUAAAGCUUGACAGUCUUCAAUAAUCAAACCAAACCCAUUUGGACUUGAAAACUGUUCAACCAAAGCUCAGAACACUUGUAGGCAGUCCAUCUCUAUGAUAACACAUGGAAUCUGCAGUUCUUUCAUCCAACUAAGAGCCUCUCUUAUGCCAAGAGCUUCAGCCUCCCUUGCUCCAAAAAUUCCUGCCACACUCACACACCUUGCUGCCACAAAACCUCCUUGUGAAUUACGAAUCACACAACCGAUCCCAAUCUUCCCUUGAGACUCAAACACAGCUGCAUCCACAUUGCACUUUACCCACCCAAACUUAGGUUGCUCCCAACACAAUGCCCCAUGAACCAAUCUGUGAGUAUCAUCAUUAACAUCAAAUACUUGCUGUUUUGCCGCUUGCCACUGAUAGAGAAACUGUCCAGCAGAGUUGAGAAUUUGACAAACUGAGCUGGUAGUGUUGUUCCAAACUUUGUUGUUUCGAUUUACCCAAAUCCGCCAACAAAUCAUCAUAGCAGUAUUACACUCAUCUUUACUGCACCUUGUAAAAACGUGAGCGAGCCAGUCCAAAAAAUUAGAGCAAUAGCCAACAAAACCCACCGAUGAAGAAGUCCAACAAGACUUAGCAAAACUGCAGGCAACCAAGGAGUGUAAAACUGUUUCUUCAUAGGCAUUACAUACAGAACACAUAGCUGGAACAUCCACCCUUUUGGAAAUUAAAUUGAGUGCUGUAGGCAACACGUUGUGUGCAGCUCUCCAAAUAAAAUUCUUAACCUUGUUCGGCACUUUCGAGUUCCACAAUUUCCUCCACACAUCCGCUAAGGAACCAGGAGUGAUAGGAUUUAAAACCUUAUAGCAACUGCGAACUGAAUAACAUCCCCGGGAAUCCGCCAUCCAAUACCACACAUCAUCUUCGCGGCGGGAACUAAGAGGAAUCUUCAGAAUCAACUCCUUAUCUCUUGAAUUGAAGAUGUCCGAAACAACAUUAUAGUCCCAAGCUCGUUGGUGAGGCAUCAUUAAGCUGCUGACAGGAGCUGCAGCUAUCUCCUCAUUAAGAUUUGUAGAAACACACCCAUCUUGGAGGUCUGGAAGCCAAGGAUCUUUACCAAUGGAUAUCGAAUGACCACUGCCAACCUGCACUCUACUCCCUUGGACCACCACUUCCUUUGCAGCCAGAAUGGAACGCCAUACAUAGCUGGGAUUAUGCCCCAACGAAGCUCGAACUACAGAAGUUCGCGGAUAGUAACGAGCUUUAAGAAUUCUCGCCAUUAGAGAAUCAGGGCAGGUUAAUAACUUCCACAUCUGCCUUCCUAACAUCGCAAUGUUAAAUAAAUAAAGUUGCUUGAACCCAAGUCCACCACACCCCUUUGGUUUGCACAAGUAUUUCCAUCCUUAUCUAUAAUUUAAACGACUAUGACUGAGACAUAAUUUUCUCGAUUUUUUCCUUACAAUUAUUGUCUGCCCUCAUCAUACUCUAUCCUAUAAUCUGCCACGUAAUUGCUAAUAUCGCCGUCCUGGACAAGUGGAUGGUAGUUUAUUAGUUAAUGUUCCUAUAUUCUAGGUGUCGUUGCAUUUUUAAAAUUGCGGUUGGCGGUAGCCAUUUGAUUUGCUCGUCUGGUUGUCCAAUCGUCAAUCAAUUCACCUUUUCCAAGACUCUGUGAACGAGGUGUUGCGUGCCUUGGCCUCUUGGCGCUUCAAAACUCCCAA